UACGUAGGGGGCUAGCGUUGUCCGGAUUUAUUGGGCGUAAAGAGCGUGUAGGCGGCCAGGUAGGUCUGCUGUGAAAACUCGAGGCUCAACCUCGAGACGUCGGCGGAAACCAUCUGGCUAGAGUCCGGAAGAGGAGAGUGGAAUUCCUGGUGUAGCGGUGAAAUGCGCAGAUAUCUGGAGGAACACCGGUGGCGAAGGCGGCAUCCUGGACCGAUACUGACGCUGAGGAGCGAAAGCCAGGGGAGCAAACGGG
rnacentral:rRNA from 1 species